AGAUUAACUAAUCUAAAGAAAAACAAAAAAGGAAUUCCAUUGAAUUGUAUUUUUAUUGAUCAAUUAUAAUUGACUUCUAGAACGUAUAAUUGUCUAAAAAGGGCCAAUAUACAUACACUAUUGGACCUUUUGAGUAAGACUGAAGAAGAUCUUUUGAGAAUUGACAGUUUUCAUAUGGAAGAUAGAAAACAUAUAUGGGACACUCUAGAAGAGCAUCUCCCAAUUGAUUUACUUAAGAAUAAACUCUCGUACCAACUAUACCAUGCUCCAUUAAAAAAAACUAUGUUAAAACUGCUUUAUGUUCUUGGAGCGGGUGUUAGCGUUAUGCCUCUCUCUUUAUAUCGUAGACUUGAAUUGAAUAAGUUGACACCUAAUGAAAUAUCUUUGCAAAUGGCCGAUAAAUCAAGUGCUAUACCUGUCGGUAUUUGUGAGGAUGUGCCUAUUGUGGUUGCAAAUGUCACUAUCUUAAUGGACUUUGUUAUUCUUGAUAUUUCCGGGAAGAUAGUAUGUCGAUUAUCCUUGGUAGAGCCUUUUUGA
rnacentral:rRNA from 1 species